rnacentral:rRNA from 1 species
GAUGAACGCUAGCGGCAGGCUUAACACAUGCAAGUCGAGGGGUAACAUUGGAGCUUGCUUCAGAUGACGACCGGCGAACGGGUGCGUAACGCGUAUAGAAUCUGCCUUGUACAGGAGGAUAGCCUUUAGAAAUGAAGAUUAACACUCCAUAAUGUAGUGAUUUGGCAUCGAAUUAUUAUUAAACAUUUAUGGGUACAAGAUGACUAUGCGUCCUAUUAGCUAGAUGGUAAGGUAACGGCUUACCAUGGCAACGAUAGGUAGGGGGUCUGAGAGGAUUAUCCCCCACACUGGUACUGAGACACGGACCAGACUCCUACGGGAGGCAGCAGUGAGGAAUAUUGGACAAUGGAGGCAACUCUGAUCCAGCCAUGCCGCGUGCAGGAAGACUGCCCUAUGGGUUGUAAACUGCUUUUAUACAGGAAGAAACACUGGUAUGUAUACCAGCUUGACGGUACUGUAAGAAUAAGGACCGGCUAACUCCG